GCAUUGUAGUGAAUUUAUGGCAGGCCUCCUCUGUGGGUCUUGCAUAGUGUGUCCAUGCCACAGUAAACUGUAGCCUCAACUACUGGCCAGCCUCCUUCCCCAUGGGCUGUGGGCACGGAAAGGGAUGACACAGUG
ensembl:snoRNA small nucleolar RNA SNORA42/SNORA80 family